AUCAUUUCAAUCAGGAAGUUCCCUCUCGACUAUUAAAGCUUUCUUUAACCUCCUUGGACUAAGAAAGAAAACAAACAGCUAUCAAAACCUAGAUUUCUUGUCAACACACUUACAUAUCACAUGUUGUUCUAGUACUAGUCCGAGUAAAGUACGGUGCCAUGGUUGCAUAAUAUUGCGAGGAGAAUCGCUUAUUGAGAAGAAGAAUGCCAGAUAAUUUGAAGGACGAACGUUCUGCGCAUGCCUCUGUGGUGUCUGUUCCACCGGUGACAGCAGACGUAAACACAGCUGACGGUGACCUCUCGGACUCCGUCUGGAGCUCAGCGUCUUCUAGACCAAGGAGGACGGAUACCGGUAGUACCCCGCACAUAGGCAAAAGCCUGGGAUCGCACACGUCACCAGCUCCCCUGCACUUUGCACCAGCAGAGAACGUUCACACCGGGGCCACCGGACACUGUGGCAGAGGGCGGACAGGGCACUACCGUGAGCGCCACGUAUAGGUGUAGUUCUGGCUCCAGGGACGCCAGUGAACACUCCGUAACACCAUGGCUAAGGGAGGGAUUGGAGGGAUACUGUUAGUAGAAGGCGGCUUCGAUAAAUUACAG